CUAUGCCACCAGCACCGGAGUAAGACUCGCUUGGGGUUCACCCAGCAUAGGGGGGUCACCCCUGUAUGAAUGUCUCUUUUGGCAUGUUGGGACACUCUUUCGGUCUAUUGGGUACCGAACAGGUGUCAGGUACGGUAGUACACUUAUUGCCACCCAGAAUUGUUUCAGUCAGUACCACUUAGAGAUUUCCUGGGAGUGGUCUGAGGAGGGGGUCACCCUCAAUAAGACCGGGAUGAGCGGUCAGUAAUGUCGGGACGUAGCCCGUGUAUGGGGAGGUAUGGUAGCCUCCAAAUUAUCCAAGGGGUCACCC